rnacentral:rRNA from 1 species
CACGUAGGCACCAAGCGUUGUCCGGAUUUACUGGGCGUAAAGAGCGCGCAGGCGGUCGUUCAAGUCGCGUGUGAAAGCCCCCGGCUCAACUGGGGAGGGUCACGCGAUACUGAUCGACUCGAAGGCAGGAGAGGGUAGUGGAAUUCCCGGUGUAGUGGUGAAAUGCGUAGAUAUCGGGAGGAACACCAGUGGCGAAGGCGACUACCUGGCCUGUUUCUUGACGCUGAGGCGCGAAAGCUAGGGGAGCAAACGGG